CCCCCACCCACCCACAACACCCAGCUCGCCCUCCUCCCUUCCGCCCCGCAGCAACUGCCCCACGGCAACUCGCCGUCACCACUCCCUCCUCUCCCAGCGCCCCCAAUCCCGGCGGCGACCCUCGCCCCUCCCGGCGUCCGUCGCCGCUCCUUCACCCUCCACAAGCGCCCCAACUCCUUCAUCCCGGCGCAUAUCGGCAUCCGCGACCCGCGCGCCUCCCCGAUCUUCGCGCUCACCAUCGCCUCCCGCCUCCCACCGCGGGGAGCAGAAGCGGCGGCGACCCUCCCUCCCCUUCAUAUGCGGCGGCAUAGUGGGACAGGGCCGCGGCCGGAGCAACGGAGCAGGUGCGCGAAGCAGCGUGGCGGCGGGGCGGAGCAGCGGCGUGCGGCCAGCGGGCGGGCAGCUGCCGGCGGUCGCGGCGGUUGGCUCCCGUACCGCCCCAUCGAGGACACCCCCCUUCACGGGUUGCGCGGCGGCGCGGCGAGGGCCAACCCCGUGCGGCGCGAGGCAGGUCCAGGCAGCCUAGCGGGGGGGGGGGGGGGGGGGGGGGGGGGCAGCGAGCGGCGUGCGGCACACGGGCGCAAGGAUUAGGGCGGCACGCGGAUGGUCUAGGCGCGGCCCCGUCCCGCCGCUACCUGGGCCGCGAAUGCUUGGAGACAAUCCUGAUGACCUGAUCUAGUUUUUCCCCUCCUUCAAAUCGACAAUCUCUUGCAGUGGGGAUCAUGACGCGAAUGGCGGCAUCCACUCUAGGCAUCGAAGCUUCCUCACACUCACCUGAGCUGUCGAAUCCUUGGGGGAUUCCUCUCCAUAGGCAUAAGGUGUCCGAUCGAGUUGGAUUUCACCUCCAAUAAUUGUUCCUGGUGAAUGCUAAACAAUCUAGGCAUCACAGUUUGGCCAGUGCUGGAUCUAAAUCUCAGCGUUGAUUUCGGUUGGAUGUAAGGUUCCAUUGAAGCAUUGAUCUACCAAGGGAAGAGGUUCUGUUGAAUCGAGGAUGCCUGCAAUGGCAUAGGGAACCACCGGCAUGCUCCACUCUCAUGGACAGAACUGACACCGUACAAGCACGCAGGUGAAGGUGCAUACCCUGCAUCCCUACAUCGCAGCUUUGUCCCCGGCUUGAUUCAUCCAAGUAGAGAUGCUUUUUUUAUCUGCUAGUUGCCUAUUCUUGAUCUCGCAUGUGUAGGAGCUUAAUUUUAUUUUCGAAACUCUUUUUCCUUCUCUAUUUUCCUAUGCACAGAUAGAUCCUGCUGGUUGCUGCAAUCGAGAUCGAGUACACAUGCAGGUUCGUCAAACAACCAAGAAUUCAUCUUUUUUUACUGCAAUAUUGAUAAGUAAUAAUAACAUAAAGGUGGAUUAUUUCUUUUCAUGUGAAAGCAAGUUGAGCCCAGAUCUCAUUUGGUGUUGCAUCUUGCUGUUUCUGCAUUGGUACUUAAAUUCGGACUAUUUUAUUUAUCUACUCUUAGUUUAUCUCACUUGUGUGCUAUCUGAAAUAUCAGGAGCUGUUGCAUCUGAGUAUUGGUUUUGGGCCUAAUAUUCCAGAGCGUUGUUGGUGCAGUAAUGAACCUAACCGCUGGUGCUGGUCCCAUGGUGUGGAUAUCUAUCAUCUGGGAAGAUUGGCUAGAGCAUCUUGUGUUGUGCCUCCUUCUGUUUAGGUGCCAUGGUGCUCCUCGACAAGAUUGGCUAGGCAUCAGAGGAUUUGAGGUGGACACCGUGAUCUCCAUUGACAGUGCCAUCUUUUGGUGGCACCCAUCAUCACCAUUAGAUGUUUAGGGAUAAUUUCCCUUGAUCAUCACUUGAUGGAUUUCAUGCAGAGAGCAUAUGUUGUACAAUAGAUUGAGUUUUAUGAGAGGAUGGUAUAUAGAGACCUUAUGUGUGUAGAUUCUUAUGAAAGUGUAAGUUCGGUGUGGCAUAACAGAAAUAUGACUCCACCUUUGUGUGUUUAUAGUAAUUAUGAACCGGCUUAGAAAAAAUGUGUGGUGCCUGUAAGCUCGUGGUCCUAAAUCAGACAUUUUAUGUUUUGUCUCGUAGUUUCUGAUGUAAAGAAUAUUUAGUUUAAUCCAGAGUCGCAUUCACCUGCCAAUACAAACAAAAUGCUUUUCAA